rnacentral:rRNA from 1 species
GUGAGGAAUAUUGGUCAAUGGGCGGAAGCCUGAACCAGCCAUGCCGCGUGAAGGAUGAAGGUUCUAUGGAUUGUAAACUUCUUUUAUUUGGGAAUAAACCCUCCGACGUGUUGGAGGCUGAAGGUACCAAAUGAAUAAGCACCGGCUAACUCCGUGCCAGCAGCCGCGGUAAUACGGAGGGUGCAAGCGUUAUCCGGAAUCAUUGGGUUUAAAGGGUCCGCAGGCGGAUUUAUAAGUCAGUGGUGAAAGCCUACAGCUCAACUGUAGAACUGCCAUUGAUACUGUAAGUCUUGAAUUCGGUCGAAGUGGGCGGAAUAUGACAUGUAGCGGUGAAAUGCAUAGAUAUGUCAUAGAACACCGAUAGCGAAGGCAGCUCACUAGGCCUGAAUUGACGCUCAUGGACGAAAGCGUGGGGAGCAAACAGGAUUAGAAACCCGGGUAGUCC